AAUACACCGCUCCAACUCAGCACUUUGCGAUCCUCGUCAUCGUAAUGAGUCUGACACUAGCAACAACGUGGAGGACCUCGCGUAUACAAUAACACUAAAACCUCUCUCUAGAGGUUAAGUUCGUCACCUGGAAAAACUUAACCGUAUUGGUGGCGAAGCGAAGUAAUUAAAAGGAAGCGGAACAGGUUAUAAGACACAGUGGCCGAUGGAAGUAAAGACAACAGGCAGAGGCUGGCUGGCGCGCGGGCGAGUAGAGGAAGUGCAAGGAGGGGCAAGGAAACAUGAGGAGGUACGAGGAGGUGCGAGGAGGUAGGAGCGGGCGUGCGACAGGUGGACGGCGGGUCGUCGGGGCCGGUGGAAUAGACCCGCUUCAAAACUAGUAUUCCAACCGACCGGCGCCGGCCGCGAGCCAUCACACCAUAUACCCAACUCACUUCACAUACCGUCCGCUAAACUGCCAUUUGUCACUGCAGUGUGUUCUAGACGGAUACUAUAAUGAUAGGGACGUCCGUGUGUUCAUUAUUUUAUCGAUACCUCUUUUUCGUCCGACACUACGUAGACCCGAUACAUUUGUUCAAACAGACCGUCUACACUGAAGGUUAAUAUGAUUGUGUCCUAAUUCCAUAUCGUUCGAUGAUCGUGAUGGCUGUAAUAAAUUGUCGAAUUGAAUUAAUUUGUUAACAAAAUAUUUAGAUCAUACCGCCUUGAAUCGAUGGACAGAAGUAUCUGUGAAGGCCGUUGAUUUAAUGCAAUCUAAGAGACCGUCGAUGGGGAAACAAAAGAUCAAACAAGCAACAAAGUCUCACUGACUCCGUUCUGGUGUUAAUUAUAAAUAAAUUUUCCUUGUCCUCAGCUAACGGAAUGCGCUGUCGCCUUUCAAAAGAUCUGUAUAUUGAGGACCCCUCAACACUGCUACCAAAUCGGUUAAGCCUGCAACCUCCUCACCACGUCGAGCCAACCUACACUCGUUGAACUCGGUCCGCGUGUCGUUGAAGUCUUUUGGAGGAGUCUCUCUCUCGCCUUAAACCACCACAACGGUGCACUUUACCUGCGUCAUUUUAUUAUUUCCGCCUCAAACUUUAAUUUCACUUCGUGGUUAUAAUGGUAACGCCAAUGUUCAUUAAAGGCCAUUGUUAAA